GAGGGUACAGCUCAAGUGGUGGAGCGCAUGCUUAACAUGCAGGAGGCCUGGGUUCAACUCCCAGUACUUCCU
rnacentral:tRNA from 1 species